ACGUAAACCAGGAACCCUCAACCCUCCUCCCUCACUCUUCACGUCACUGCUUCCCUUGCCACUGUCCAGCCGCCGCACCACGCCCACUGCCGGACCACCACCUUCACCGACGACCACCGUCGACCCUCGUGCCCACCGUGAGCUCGGGGCCGUCGAUACUCCGCCGCCGCCAGCACAACCCUGUCCACCGUCCCGCCACCACCACUGCGUGCCGCCACCGCACGCAACCCCUUGCUCAGCCUCGCCGCGAACCACCGCAUAUCCGCCGGCCAGCUCUCCUCUCUCCUCCUUAAUUCUUGAUUAUUUCUUAAACCCUAAGUAACUAAUUAUUUUAAUUAAAUUUUGUUAACUUAAAUGAUGUUCUUGAAUCAAAUUUAUAAUUUUUAUUGUUAAAUAUGGUUUUCAGAUUUGGGUGUUGUUAUUAUAAACCAAUUAUUUUCAGUUUUGAUUAAUUAAAAAUUAAGUUAGGGCUUAGUCAUGCUUUGUUAAUUCGAAUUAUGCUUCCUUGAAUUAAAGUUAUGGUUUUUGUGAUUUAAAGUAUGAAUUUAAGAUUAUAUGAAUUUUAUAAUAAAGUUAUUAAUUUUCAGAUUAUGUAAUUACAGUGAAAUAUUGGUUUUGAUUGUUUAAAGUAUGAAAUUCAAGGUUUUUAUGAUUAUUAAUCAUGAUGAGUUGAGUGUGGAUUAUUGAAUUGGUUGUUUUGAGAUACUAGGAACGUAGAUUGACCAUGGUGAAGCUUUUAAAUGAAUUUAUAUUGCUGAAAAUUUAAAGUACGAUGUUUGCAAAAGUUCUCAACGAAUUUCAAUCACUAAUUCAAUAAUUAUGAUUCUAGGAAAUCAAAUGUUUAAGUUUUGAUAUUGGGGAAAGUUCUAAAUAUGUUUAGGAUGCAUUUAGAAUGCUCUCUUAUGGUUAUCAAUGAUUAGGAAUUGAUUGGGAAUAUUUGUUGGUUGUUUUAGGCGGAGAAUUCUCUUUAGGCGACUUUUGAAAGUGUUAAAGUGGCCUAUCAAUUUGUUUAUACAAGUCUCUAAGGAUCAAUAAGCAUUGUCCAUCUGCAGGUUUGAAGAUGUUGCAUCAUUGGGAUCGGGAAUAGAGAGCUUGUAUUUAGUUUUGAUUUGCUAAGUUGACUUGGGUUUGUUUAAUUGGACUUUAAACUUGUCGUACUAUUUACAUUUCCUUAUUUUCGUUGGUUGAUUUUUGGGACUAAACCUGUAAUCGAUUAUUUAUAAACCUAAAGUUAGUUUUA